rnacentral:lncRNA from 1 species
UUCCCUCAGAGAGCUGGUCUUGGGAACCUGCAGCUGGCGUGGCCAGACCAUCUAGUCCAGACCAUCCCGUCCUGACCAUCUAGUCCAGUACAGACCAUCCAGGCCAGACCAUCUAGUCCAGACCACCUAGUCCAGACCAUCCAGUCCAGACAAUCCAGGAUGCACGGGGAAGGAAAGAGGCGCCCCAUGAGGACAGCAUGGUCUACCUCCUCAAUACUACAGACCCCAGACCAGAUCCCCGUCAGGACAGCAUGGUCCCCCUCCUCAACACUACAGACCCAAGACCAGAUCCCCGUCAGGACAUGGUCCCCCUCCUCAACACUACAGACCCCAGACCAGAUCCCCGUCAGGACAGCAUGGUCCCCCUCCUCAACACUACAGACCCCAGACCAGAUCCCCGUCAGGACAGCAUGAUCCCCCUCCUAGACACUACAGACCCCAGAGCAGAGAUCCCAGAGGACAGAGCAUAACAGACAAAGAUUAAGACAUCCAAACAGACAGAGACACCACAUGGCCCCUACGUGAGACACCACAUGGCCCCUACGUGAGACACCACCUGGCCCCUACGUGAGACACCACCUGGCCCCUAGGUGGCAGAAUCCACAUCCUGAUUUCACCUGACUGUCAGUGUUGAAGGGACAGCGGAGGGCCUCAGCUCCGAUGAAAUAUGUUACAUCCAUCAUGCUUUGUCUCAACCCUCUUACAGAAUUGUCCUGUUGUUGUUGACCAGCCCAGCCCAACACACUCAGGGGAUACGUCUAAGACUAGACUGUCUUGUUUUACCAUAACUUCACUAUCAGUUGGAUUGGAGAAAUAUAGCUCCUGUAAAGUAACAAUAUGAGACAUUGGUUUCAAUAGGAUUGCAAUAGGAGAGGAUAUUGGUCACACGAAUAGGAAGAAGGGCUCUUGUUGAGUAGGUCCACUUUUUGGAGGUUGGAGGUGAGGGAUUGUAAGAGGUGAAAGAGGACCUGAGGGAGCAGAUACAUUUCCCUUGGCUAAAGUUACUCUGAAUCGGAGCAAACUCCAAAUAUACGUGAGAGUUGGCUUGACUUUGUUGACGUAUUUAUUCAAAGUGUCACUUUAAAAUAUAAAAAAGAUCCGAUGUAAUUUACUAUGUCAUUAUCAUAAUUAUUAUUCAUGCAGAUGUGAUUUGAGUAUGUCAUCAUUUUGAAAAAAGUCAUAAAUUCUGAACAAGGGGAACGUCGAACGCCAUGGAAAUCACCUGCCAUGCUCCACUACCUUUAUCAGUGCUAUGGAAAUCACCUGCCAUGCUCCACUAUCUUUAUCAGUGUUAUGGAAACCACCUGCCAUGCUCCACUACCAUUAUCAGUGUUAUGGAAAUCACCUGCCAUGCUCCACUACCAUUAUCAGUGUUAUGGAAACCACCUGCCAUGCUCCACUGCCAUUAUCAGUGCUAUGGAAACCACCUGCCAUGCUCCACUGACAUUAUCAGUGUUAUGGAAACCACCUGCC